rnacentral:rRNA from 1 species
CAGACGGCUCAGUAACACGUAGUCAACCUAACCUUUGGACGUGGAUAAUCUCGGGAAACUGAGAAUAAACCACGAUAGAUAACGGUGCCUGGAAUGGCCCAUUGUCAAAACAGUUUACUGCCAGGGGAUGGGACUGCGGCCUAUCAGCUUGUUGGUGAGGUAAUGGCCCACCAAGGCUAUAACAGGUACGGGCUCUGAGAGGAGAAGCCCGGAGAUGGGUACUGAGACACGGACCCAGGCCCUAUGGGGCGCAGCAGGCGAGAAACCUUAGCAAUGUGCGAAAGCACGACUGGGUCAGUCCGAGUGAUUUCUGAUAAAGGAAUCUUUUGCCCGUCCUAAAAGCACGGGCGAAUAAGGGGUGGGCAAGUCUGGUGUCAGCCGCCGCGGUAAUACCAGCACCUCGAGUGGUCAGGACGAUUAUUGGGCCUAAAGCAUCCGUAGCUGGUUUUGCAAGUCUCCGGUUAAAUCCACCUGCUUAACAGAUGGGCCGCUGGAGAUACUACAAGACUAGGGAGUGGGAGAGGCAGACGGUAUUCGGGGGGUAGGGGUAAAAUCCNCUGAUCCUUUGAGGACCACCACUGGCGAAGGCGAUCUGCCAGAACACGUUCCACAGUGAGGAUAUCAAGCUGGGGGAGCCCACC